rnacentral:rRNA from 1 species
AGAGUUUGAUCCUGGCUCAGAGCGAACGCUGGCGGCAGGCCUAACACAUGCAAGUCGAACGGAUCCUUCGGGAUUAGUGGCGGACGGGUGAGUAACACGUGGGAACGUGCCCUUUGGUUCGGAACAACUCAGGGAAACUUGAGCUUAUACCGGAUGUGCCCUUCGGGGGAAAGAUUUAUCGCCAUUGGAGCGGCCCGCGUCUGAUUAGCUAGUUGGUGGGGUAAAGGCCCACCAAGGCGACGAUCAGUAGCUGGUCUGAGAGGAUGAUCAGCCACAUUGGGACUGAGACACGGCCCAAACUCCUACGGGAGGCAGCAGUGGGGAAUCUUGCGCAAUGGGCGAAAGCCUGACGCAGCCAUGCCGCGUGAAUGAUGAAGGUCUUAGGAUUGUAAAAUUCUUUCACCGGGGACGAUAAUGACGGUACCCGGAGAAGAAGCCCCGGCUAACUUCGUGCCAGCAGCCGCGGUAAUACGAAGGGGGCUAGCGUUGCUCGGAAUUACUGGGCGUAAAGGGAGCGUAGGCGGACUGUUAAGUUAGAGGUGAAAGCCCAGGGCUCAACCUUGGAAUUGCCUUUGAUACUGGCAGUCUUGAGUACGGAAGAGGUAUGUGGAACUCCGAGUGUAGAGGUGAAAUUCGUAGAUAUUCGGAAGAACACCAGUGGCGAAGGCGACAUACUGGUCCGUUACUGACGCUGAGGCUCGAAAGCGUGGGGAGCAAACAGGAUUAGAUACCCUGGUAGUCCACGCCGUAAACGAUGAGUGCUAGUUGUCGGCAUGCAUGCAUGUCGGUGACGCAGCUAACGCAUUAAGCACUCCGCCUGGGGAGUACGGUCGCAAGAUUAAAACUCAAGGAAUUGACGGGGGCCCGCACAAGCGGUGGAGCAUGUGGU